rnacentral:piRNA from 1 species
UGAGAGUUCCCCAUCUGCACGAACACA